AUGCGCANNCCUANCAUGCAAGCUCGAACGGGAACCCCCUGGCAUUCGUCUGGGGGGGAGAGUGGCGAACGGGUGAGUAACACGUAGGUGACCUGCCCUGAAGCGGGGAAUAACCACUGGAAACGGUGGCUAAUACCCCAUGUGCUCCGCGGUUCAGUCCGUUGAGUAAAGCUCCGGCGCUUCAGGAGGGGCCUGCGGCCCAUCAGGUAGUUGGUAGGGUAAUGGCCUACCAAGCCAAUGACGGGUAGGGGGCGUGAGAGCGUGAUCCCCCACACUGGCACUGAGACACGGGCCAGACUCCUACNGGAGGCAGCAGUGAGGAAUAUUGCCCAAUGGACGCAAGUCUGAGGCAGCAACGCCGCGUGAGCGAUGAAGGCCUUCGGGUUGUAAAGCUCUUUUCUGGGGGACGAGGAAGGACGGUACCUCAGGAAUAAGUCACGGCUAACUACGUGCCAGCAGCCGCGGUAAUACGUAGGUGGCGAGCGUUAUCCGGAUUUACUGGGCGUAAAGCGCGUGUAGGCGGUUCUGUAAGUCGGACGUGAAAGCUCCUGGCUUAACUGGGAGAGGCCGUUCGAUACUGCGGGACUUGAGGUCGGGAGAGGGACGUGGAAUUCCCGGUGUAGUGGUGGAAUGCGUAGAUAUCGGGAGGAACACCAGUGGCGAAGGCGGCGUCCUGGCCCGCACCUGACGCUAAGACGCGAAAGCGUGGGUAGCGAACGGGAUUAGAUACCCCGGUAGUCCACGCCGUAAACGGUGGAUACUAGGUGUUGGUGGCUAUCGUCAUCAGUGCCGUAGCUAACGCGUUAAGUAUCCCGCCUGGGGACUACGGCCGCAANGCUAAAAACUCAAA
rnacentral:rRNA from 1 species